rnacentral:sRNA from 1 species
UUCAAACAAAACAAUGAAAGCCCUGCCUCUCUUCCAUCCUUGCGGUUCCUUGACCGCGCCAGUGAGAAUUGGUCUACCAACUUGCGG